rnacentral:rRNA from 1 species
AGAGUGAACGCUGGCGGCAGGCCUAACACAUGCAAGUCGAGCGGCAGCACAGUCGUAGCAAUACGAUGGGUGGCGAGCGGCGGACGGGUGAGGAAUGCAUCGGAAUCUACCUUGUUGUGGGGGAUAACGUAGGGAAACUUACGCUAAUACCGCAUGAGACCGUAAGGUGAAAGCGGGGGACCUGUGAGGGCCUCGCGCGACAAGAUGAGCCGAUGCCGGAUUAGCUAGUUGGUGGGGUAAAGGCCCACCAAGGCGACGAUCCGUAGCUGGUCUGAGAGGAUGAUCAGCCACACUGGAACUGAGACACGGUCCAGACUCCGUACGGGAGGCAGCAGGUGGGGAAUAUUGGACAAGUGGGCGCAAGCCGUGAUCCAGCCAUCGCCGCGUGUGUGAAGAGGCCUUGGUUGUAAAGCGUACGUUUGUUAGGGAAGUAAAGUCCGUAGG